GGUUUCACAAUAAAUUAUCCGGGUAGAUAAACUGCAUAUAAUUCAAAAGAGAAUUUUAAAUUCUAGUACUAAGUAAUUGCAGAUUUUAAUUGCUCUCUCUUUUUUUAUUUUAUUUUUUUGCAUAAAUAUUUUUUUGAAUAAAUAGCAAAAUUAAAGGCAAAUUCUAAGUACUCUAAUUUAAUGAUAAAAUUUAAAUACUGAGAUAAACGAUAGAAUAUUUACAGAAGUGAAAAGGUACUCACCUUGUGGGGGCUCUCCCCCAAUCUGCAUGUUGCCAAGCUCAAUACUGUGGUGGAGUUGGUGGUGGGUAUCCCAUCUGCUCUAUCAGGUACUCUAGUCCAGUCUGCAUGUGCUGCUAUCUCUCAUAUAGCUGUUUGAACUGUUGGUCCACCUAGUGCUGCCACUGCUCCUGCUGCUGAAACCUAUCAUCAAUGUGAUGUUGCCACUGCUCGUGUCGGUGCAAGAUAUCAUUCAUCGUCUGCUGUCCCUGCUGAAGGUUAGUGAGAUGCAAGGAUAUGGCAGUGUAAUCAUUAAUAGGAGUCCCAAAGUGCUAUUCAGGUGGCGGCAUGUAGUCAUUUGUUGGUGGUACAUGGAAUGGGUACAGUCUACCAGUAGCGUGGUCCGUAUUUCUACGCACAGAAAAUAAUGUACGGCCCCUCUAAAAAUCUUGUAUGGUGUUAUCUAGCUCCUGUAUAGGGAAUGUUCCCCAUCCUGUGGAUGUAGACGGCUCUCCUUGCUCAUAUGUGGCUUGGUCCUUCCAUCCAGAGUGGGUAGACCAUGGCUGAUGUGGUUUAUGUGAAGCACCUGGAUCAUCAAAGUUAGUGUAAUAAAAAUGAGCUGGACCCGAUGGUGCUGGGUCAGCCCUAGUAUAGACAGUUCUGGGCACCCUGCUGAUGCGUGC
rnacentral:lncRNA from 1 species